UACGUAGGGUGCAAGCGUUAAUCGGAAUUACUGGGCGUAAAGCGUGCGCAGGCGGUUUCGUAAGUCUGUCGUGAAAUCCCCGGGCUUAACCUGGGAAUGGCGAUGGAGACUGCGAGGCUAGAGUUUGGCAGAGGGGGGUAGAAUUCCACGUGUAGCAGUGAAAUGCGUAGAGAUGUGGAGGAACACCGGUGGCGAAGGCGGCGACCUGGGUAGAUACUGACGCUGAGGUGCGAAAGCGUGGGGAGCAAACAGG
rnacentral:rRNA from 1 species